AGGACGAACGCUGGCGGCGUGCUUAACACAUGCAAGUCGAGCGGUAAGGCCCCUUCGGGGGUACACGAGCGGCGAACGGGUGAGUAACACGUGAGUAAUCUGCCCUUCACUUCGGGAUAACCGCCGGAAACGGCGGCUAAUACCGAAUACGACCAUCCCUCGCAUGAGGUGCUGGUGGAAAGUCUUGUCGGUGAAGGAUGUGCUCGCGGCCUAUCAGCUUGUGUGGGGUAAUGGCCUACCAAGGCUUUCG
rnacentral:rRNA from 1 species